UGCAGACAAUGUUUUGCUUGAGAGAAGCUACUUUCUAGGCACUUCAACAUUCAUUCAAGAGAGCUGCCUCACAAGUGCCCUGAAUGCGGGAAAGGAUUCCCUCAUAGGUCCAACCGUUAUCGGCACCAGCCAGUUCACGUGUGGGAGACCCCUGUGAAUGCACAGUGCAUAACAAGCGAAUAAUAAGUCGCACCUCACAGCACCUGUGAAGACGUUGUGAUAAGGAAAUGUAUGAGUGCCUUGAGUGCAGGAAAGGUGUUUCUCCUAGAUCAAGUCUGACAGGACACCCGAAUGCUUUCACAGGUGAAAAAUCUCAAGGUUGUCACAGUUGUGGGGAAAGCUUUAGUCAGUCGACAGCUCUUUUUUGCACCCGAGAACACACGCUGAGGGGAUACCAUUUAUAUGUGAUACUUGCGGGACAAGCUACAGACAGAGAUCAAGUCUUGUUAUUCGCUUAAGAAUCUAUACGUGGGAGAAGCCAUACAAAUGUAGGCACUGCUCUAAAAGCUUCAUAAAGAGAGCAGACCAUAUGAUGCACCAAGCUGCACACUUUAGA
rnacentral:lncRNA from 1 species